UACGAAGGGGGCUAGCGUUGCUCGGAAUUACUGGGCGUAAAGCGCACGUAGGCGGCUUGUUAAGUCAGGGGUGAAAUCCUGGAGCUCAACUCCAGAACUGCCUUUGAUACUGGGAGGCUCGAGUCCGGGAGAGGUGAGUGGAACUGCGAGUGUAGAGGUGAAAUUCGUAGAUAUUCGCAAGAACACCAGUGGCGAAGGCGGCUCACUGGCCCGGUACUGACGCUGAGGUGCGAAAGCGUGGGGAGCAAACAGG
rnacentral:rRNA from 1 species